AUGAACGCUGGCGGCGUGCCUAAUACAUGCAAGUCGAGCGAACGGACGAGGAGCUUGCUCCUCUGACGUUAGCGGCGGACGGGUGAGUAACACGUGGAUAACCUACCUAUAAGACUGGGAUAACUUCGGGAAACCGGAGAUAAUACCGGAUAAUAUAUUGAACCGCAUGGUUCAAUAGUGAAAGACGGUUUUGCUGUCACUUAUAGAUGGAUCCGCGCCGCAUUAGCUAGUUGGUAAGGUAACGGCUUACCAAGGCAACGAUGCGUAGCCGACCUGAGAGGGUGAUCGGCCACACUGGAACUGAGACACGGUCCAGACUCCUACGGGAGGCAGCAGUAGGGAAUCUUCCGCAAUGGGCGAAAGCCUGACGGAGCAACGCCGCGUGAGUGAUGAAGGUCUUCGGAUCGUAAAACUCUGUUAUUAGGGAAGAACAAAUGUGUAAGUAACUAUGCACGUCUUGACGGUACCUAAUCAGAAAGCCACGGCUAACUACGUG
rnacentral:rRNA from 1 species